UCUCCUGGAAAACGGGUGGUAAUGCCGGAUGCUCCAUCACACCGCAUGGUGUGUUGGGAAAGCCUUUGCGGCAUGGGAUGGGGUCGCGUCCUAUCAGCUUGAUGGCGGGGUAACGGCCCACCAUGGCUUCGACGGGUAGCCGGCCUGAGAGGGCGACCGGCCACAUUGGGACUGAGAUACGGCCCAGACUCCUACGGGAGGCAGCAGUGGGGAAUAUUGCACAAUGGGCGCAAGCCUGAUGCAGCGACGCCGCGUGAGGGAUGGAGGCCUUCGGGUUGUAAACCUCUUUUGUUAGGGAGCAAGGCAUUUUGUGUUGAGUGUACCUUUCGAAUAAGCACCGGCUAACUACGUGCCAGCAGCCGCGGUAAUACGUAGGGUGCAAGCGUUAUCCGGAAUUAUUGGGCGUAAAGGGCUCGUAGGCGGUUCGUCGCGUCCGGUGUGAAAGUCCAUCGCUUAACGGUGGAUCCGCGCCGGGUACGGGCGGGCUUGAGUGCGGUAGGGGAGACUGGAAUUCCCGGUGUAACGGUGGAAUGUGUAGAUAUCGGGAAAGAACA
rnacentral:rRNA from 1 species